rnacentral:rRNA from 1 species
GAUGAACGCUGGCGGCGUGCCUAAUACAUGCAAGUCGAGCGAACGGACGAGAAGCUUGCUUCUCUGAUGUUAGCGGCGGACGUGUGAGUAACACGUGGAUAACCUACCUAUAAGACUGGGAUAACUUCGGGACACCGUAGCUAAUACCGGAUAAUAUUUUGAACCGCAUGGUUCAAAAGUGAAAGACGGUCUUGCUGUCACUUAUAGAUGGAUCCGCGCUGCAUUAGCUAGUUGGUAAGGUAACGGCUUACCACGGCAACGAUGCAUAGCCGACCUGAGAGUGUGAUCGGCCACACUGGAACUGAGCCACGGUCCAGACUCCUACGGGAGGCAGCAGUAGGGUAUCGUCCGCAAUGGGCGAAAGCCUGACGGAGCAACGCCGCGUGAGUGGUGAAGGUCUUCGGAUCGUAAAACUCUGUUAUUAGGGAAGAACAUAUGUGUAAGGAACUGUGCACAUAUUGACGGUACCUAAUCAAAAAGCAACGGCUAACUACGUG